rnacentral:rRNA from 1 species
UACGGAGGGUGCGAGCGUUGUCCGGAAUCACUGGGCGUAAAGGGCGCGUAGGCGGCCUGAUAAGUAGGGGGUGAAAUCCUGCGGCUUAACCGCAGGGCUGCCUUCUAAACUGUCAGGCUAGAGCACAGUAGAGGCAGGUGGAAUUCCCGGUGUAGCGGUGGAAUGCGUAGAGAUCGGGAAGAACAUCAGUGGCGAAGGCGGCCUGCUGGGCUGUUGCUGACGCUGAGGCGCGACAGCGCGGGGAGCAAACAGG